GACCCACCGGCAGGGACUAACAGGAGUAUUUAUCAAACUAUCCUGCGGUGCUUUUAUCUAAGGAUAGAGGUAUUGAGCAGAUAGGGAAAAGGGGGUCUGAAAUGCCCUUACCU
rfam:Bacteroidales bacterium 36-12 SCNpilot_bf_inoc_scaffold_199, whole genome shotgun sequence.